rnacentral:rRNA from 1 species
AUGGCUCAGGAUGAACGCUAGCUACAGGCUUAACACAUGCAAGUCGAGGGGCAGCAUUGGAGUAGCAAUACUCAGAUGGCGACCGGCGCACGGGUGAGUAACACGUAUCCAACCUGCCGCUUACUCGGGGAUAGCCUUUCGAAAGAAAGAUUAAUACCCGAUGGUAUAAAGAGUUCGCAUGUUCUCUUUAUUAAGAAUUUCGGUAAGCGAUGGGGAUGCGUUCCAUUAGAUAGUUGGCGGGUAACGGCCCACCAAGUCUACGAUGGAUAGGGGUUCUGAGAGGAAGGUCCCCCACAUUGGAACUGAGACACGGUCCAAACUCCUACGGGAGGCAGCAGUGAGGAAUAUUGGUCAAUGGACGAGAGUCUGAACCAGCCCAAGUAGCGUGAAGGAUGACUGCCCUAUGGGUUGUAAACUUCUUUUAUAAGGGAAUAAAGUGAGGGACGUGUCCCUUUUUGUAUGUACCUUAUGAAUAAGGAUCGGCUAACUCCGUGCCAGCCGCGGC